rnacentral:tRNA from 2 species
UCCGGCAUAGCUCAGUUGGUAGAGCAACGGACUGUUAAUCCGUGGGUCGUAGGUUCGAGUCCUACUGCCGGAGCCA